UUAUUUUAUUCCUCCCCUCCUCCUUUUUAUUGCCAUAUACUGGAUUUAUCAGGUUCUUGUUUUUCAUAUCUAACUGGCAUUUUAAGAAUUGCUGUACUUCAAAUGCUAUGAAUUACAGAGCAUAUUGCUUGAGUUAUAUUUAGCUGCAUGUGUUGCAUGGAAAUUGAAAAGAAAUGGCAGUGUCUACAUUUUACAACCUAUUAACAUUUUUAUUGUGUGCCAUAGAAAUUAAUGGAAUUUGAGAAGUGUGUAGCUUGUGAAAAGAAAUAUUCCUUUUAUUUUUUUAAAUUGAGCUGCUGAGGAACGAGUUCUAUUUGCAUGGGCUACUGCUGACUUGCUUUGUCUGGUAGUAGAGAACAUCCAGUUCUGGACAAAAAUAUAAGACUACAUGGAUCAAAACCCAUUUAUAUUUUUUUGCCUGAACAAGGUUAUGAAGCUAAGCAUAAUUAUUAGAGCUAUAUUGGGUAAUACAUGUUUAGAAAGAUAGAUGCUAAAUUUUACACAAUAUGCUUUUAAUGAAGUUAAAUGAAUAAAAUUGCUUGAUUUCAUAUUCUUCAUUGAAAUACUUGAGGAAGCAGUUGUAGGAACAUAAAAGGCAAUUUGGGUAAUUGUGUUUGGCCACAUGCUGUAAGAGGGAGAAACUCUGUGCUGUGAUUUCAGCCAGAGGCCAUCUAGAGGGGGAAAAGGCCCAAAGGUGUUAUAGUGAUGAAAAUUAACAUCUUGGUUUUCUGUGGCUGAAAAGGCAAAGGUGCAGGAUGAGGUUCCAUCAAAGACUUAGCCUGAGUCCUGUGUUUUAAGUGCCUCCAGGAAAAUAGUGCAGAUCUGUAUUUCUUUGUCUUAUAUUUUCAUCUUACCUGCAACUGGAAUACCUUGAUUUAACUUGUCAGCUUUUUUAGAGGUUCAGGAAUCUUUGCUGUUUGUACUUGAAAUUUUACAAUAGGCGUUCUUUCUAUAUUCAGCAUGCUUACCCAGGAAUUCAUUAACUCUUCAGUACAGCCCGGGGGAAUAUUAGUUUCAUAUUGCUAUAAAUUUAAUACAAAAUAAAUGAUGCGUUCAGCAUAGAAUGCUUUAUCAGUCUUUUUUCUCUGCUUUUCAUCAUCAUUCAUCAGCAUAUCAGGUGAAAAUUUAAAAAUGUUUUGUAACUGAGAAUAGUUUAAACAUUGACUGUGUUUGAAAGCUGGAAAAUUACCUAGGAGGGCAUUACAGUAAACAUUUUGUUUGUAUGAUCAACAGUGAAAUAACUUGGGCUUUAGGGGUAGUGUCAGUGUGCUGUUAACAGGAUGGUUUUGCCUUUGGUGUUGAGCUGUCUAAAUGCUUAAAAUUUGACAGCAGCAGUAAAUCUCUUCCACAGGUUCAGAGGCUCCUAAAGGAAGUAAUCAAUAUCAGAAAUAUAAUCAAAUGUUGGCAUUUAGUCAAGGAAUCUAUUUUAAUAUGGUGGUUAAGACAAGCCUCUGGAAUUCUUGGGCAGAUCAGUGGUAGCUGGCAAGUGGAUUCCUUUACAGGAUCAAUGAAGAAAUGACAGACCUGGAUCAAGGUUUGCUACAGUGGUUUAGAUACAGACACAAAUCACAGAAUCACAGAAUGCCCUCAGUUGGAAGGUACCCACAACUGAGUCCAACUCAAUUGGACACCCCCAGGAAUCCCACCAUGUGCAUGGGAGCCUUGUCCAAAUAUCCAUAAGGCACUGCAGAAAUAAGAUCUGAGUCAGUGGUUAUAAGCCUUAGGUUCUCUGCAAUUGUUUUGGAUAGGGAAAACAGUUCAAAGGAGAAGAUGGCAAUAAGAGUGGAUAAAAAAUUAAGAUGUUAACAUCAGCAAGCUCAAGAGAAGGAAUCAGGGUUUGUGGUCCUCUUCCUCUGGUCCAGUGGAAGAUGUCUCUGCCCUGGCAGGGGCUUGGGGGGUGAUCUUUAAGGUCCCUUCCAGCCCAAAGCUCUAUUAUGAAAAAGAGACCGUGUUUGUGUGUGAGUACAUUUGGAAACUUGAGAAAUGACAAAAUCCCUCAGUACUGAAGGAAUCAAUACUGAGCUCAAUACUCAGUGCAGAGCUGAGACAAGAAGGAUGGAGCAAGGAAGCAGGGAGAUGUGAGCUCUGCACCCAGCUGAGCUCAGGAGACUCACCAUUAUCAGGCUGGGAUAAAUGGUGUUUGGAAGAAGCAGGGUUAUUUCAGGUACCAGAUGAGUUUUAUGGCAGCCACUACAUUAUUGGCUUUUAACAAGCAAACCAGGUAUUUAUCUGUGCAAAUUGUACAGAUUCUUGUUUUUUUAAAAAUCCUCAUUAUGCUACAGAAUUUCUAAAUAUACAGAAUAUAAUGUGACAGCUUUGUAUUUUAAGGCUUAACUUGCGUCUAUACACGUUUUCCAUUUCUCUCAAUUUAUAAUACAUAGCUGUGGAUCAGUUUGCAUCACAGGAUUUUUGUGGGUUUGUUUUUUUAUUUGCCUAUCUUGAACCUAUGUUUAACUAAAAAAAUAUGGCUUCACUUCUGAAUCCCUAUUCCAUUCAUCUCAGGCUUAAUUUAAAUGGACUUUUGAUAAUUAAUUACAGCAAUUAACUUUGAGGUCUUCAAACCUGGCUGAUCAUAAGGGGAAAAGCAGUGCUCUGUGAAUACUUCCUAGAAAUGUACUCAUUGAUGGGUUUGCCUGAGGAGUGUUGACACAAUGUGCAUAAAUUCCAUUGUCUGACAUUUUGUGUUUGGAAGGGAAGCAGCAGCUCUCAGUCAGGCUCAGCUCAAGUUCAGAUUGCACAGUACACUUCUGUACCCACUGGCACUCCAAGUGACGAGGCUGCUUCUGUGUUUGUCUUGGCAAAGACAGGAAUUGCUCAUCACAAAUACAAAUGAAAACAGCUAUGUCAGAUUUUUAAAUUCUUGUGUAUGACUUUAAAAAAAUUAUAGAAAAUCUGUAGUUAUCGGCAAGUAAUACCUCUCAGAGAGAAGGCUUUUUCCUGUAAUGUUCUUUGUUCUGAAAUGUCACUAAAUUGGGCUCAUAUUUAAAUUUUCUGGACCAGACUUGCCUCUGCCAUGUUCUUGCUUUCUGCAGGACAGUAUGACAGUAUGACAAUUUUGUGUGCUUGGCUGCCUGGUGAAGGUAAUCAUUGACUUACAAGAACUAAAUAGAAAUCCACUCCGGCCUUUUAAAAUGAGGCCCCAUAUGAGGAGGUUAAAUCCAGAGCUCCAUUUAGUUGAAAGACAGUUUAAACCAAAAGUCGUUUCUGUGCUUCUGCUCUUAUUUGAAAAUGCAUGAUUCUGAUUACUGAGUAGUAUUGAGGUUUUUUUGUAAUGUCUGCAUAUUUCAGCCUAGGGGAAUGGAGAGGAGGAGAUUAAUUUUUAUAGAGAUGUUUGGAUGAAAAAUUGUGCAAGAAACUACUUUGCUUUACCAAUUAGCUACUUUCAUAUCAUCUUCUAAUCCCAAGACUUGUUACUGCUGUCCAGCAAGUAAUCCUUCUGAAACAGCUGGACAAGUCUACUGCUCUGUCAGUCCUAAUGGUGUUUAACUUCCCACCCUCAUCACUGCACAUCUUUAAUUAAUGUGAAUAAAUGCACCAAAAUUACCAAAAGGAAUCACAGUAAAUGAUAGAUGCUUUUACUUUCUCACACAAACCCUAUUUCUUUUGAAAGCAAGUAAAACCCAGAUCUGCACAAAGAAUGAUUUAAAGUUUCUCUAAGUGUUUGAUGCAGUAUAUCAUGUGCAUGCCACCGUUUUUCCUUUAUAUAGAAGCAAACUGGUGAGGAGGAUAACAGUGAUCUUUAAAACACAGUAGAUAAAGAACAUAGGCUUCUUGUUUUACCCCUCUGUUGUAUUAAGAUGUUGUGAAGAGCCCUCUUAAAUUUGUUGAAGAUUAAAGUUGAAACUCGGCUUAUUAUAACAACUAACUAAAAAUACAGUGUAUUUACUGUAGUAUAAAAAAGAUGAACUGGGAAAUUGUCUAGGGAUUGAAAGGAUAGAAAGCUCUACAAAGGAAGUAGUAGUAGUCUACUUUUUCUGGUGCUGUUUGCCAGGCAAACAUCUAAAAGUGUAUUAUAAUAAAUAGCAUACUGUUAAAUGAAUCUGUCGGCUGGUGCUUUCAAAACUCUUCUGGUUUCUAUUAAAAAAUAUUAAAAUUUAUUUUGAAAGCUUAGCUGUAUUAGGUGAUCUUAGUAAAACAGUGUGUGAUAUGUUGUUUAUUUGUUUUUAUAGUAAAUAACUUUGCAUUAAUGACUUACAUUCCUUCUCCUUUGCUUAGCUGUAGCAUAACAUUUAUUUCACCUUAACUUUUUUGGUGCAACUUUCUCCUGUGGCAAAAAUUAGACACAAAAAUUGGAUAAAAAUUGGCUGAGAGAAUUAGUUAUGAGAUAGAUCUGCUGGGUUUUUUUUUUUUUUUCUGGAGUAGAGGACUUGUUGCUGGAGUCUCCAGGAUCAACUACUAAAACACUGGAAAACAUUACUUAAAACCAAAUUCAGGUUACUUUCUGGCAGCAGUGUAGUAUGGUUCCGGGAUCAGUUUAAUUUUUAGGAUCAUAUAAAUUGCUGUAACAAUUUCACUCCUUGCAUUCUGCUAAAAUAUGUACCUGCUUCUUCUUGAGAAUAACAUUCCCUUUGGACUGUAUUCAGGACCUCAAAGCUAGUAAUGACAAGGAAUGACAGAAGAAAAAGAACUGAGAUGUGACUGUCUGGUCAUAGCUGGAAUUGUGGGUAUCUGCAAACUGAACAGCUAAACAGGAAAAAAUUGACAUCAUGGUCUUUUCACAGAUUAAUAAAAAAAUAAGUUCCUCGAAUUAAACAUUCACAAAACAAAUUACAUAAUUUGGCUUUUUUUUUUUUUUUUCCCCUCUGUUAUUUUAGGAAAUCUCCAGCUGUAAACCUUAGUGCUACCAUAUGGGAUAGGUGCUCCAAUAAUUGAUCUCAAAUCAUCUUUUGCCUUAGUAGGAACUUUUUAAAAGCUGUCUAACUCUUUAAGUCUCGUCAUAGAGAAAUACUGACAAGAAAUACAUUGGUCAACAUCUUACAAAAAACUAAAUCAUACUGAGAGACACAUCAGAUCCUUAAUGGCUUUUUAAGUUAAAAACUUCUGGCAUAGAUUUUUUUUAAAAAUUUUUUUGAUCUUAUGAAAAACCAAA